rnacentral:rRNA from 1 species
UACAGAGGGUGCAAGCGUUGUUCGGAAUUAUUGGGCGUAAAGGGCGCGUAGGCGGUGCUAUAAGUCUGUGGUGAAAUCUCUGGGCUCAACUCAGAGUCUGCCAUAGAAACUGUAGUGCUAGAGUGUGGGAGAGGUGAGUGGAAUUCCCGGUGUAGCGGUGAAAUGCGUAGAUAUGACAUAGAACACCAAUUGCGAAGGCAGCCCGCUACACGGUUAUUGACACUGAGGCACGAAAGCGUGGGGAUCAAACAGG